GAGUUUGAUCGUGGCUCAGAUUGAACGCUGGCGGCAGGCCUAACACAUGCAAGUCGAGCGGUAGAGAGAAGCUUGCUUCUCUUGAGAGCGGCGGACGGGUGAGUAAUGCCUAGGAAUCUGCCUGGUAGUGGGGGAUAACGCUCGGAAACGGACGCUAAUACCGCAUACGUCCUACGGGAGAAAGCAGGGGACCUUCGGGCCUUGCGCUAUCAGAUGAGCCUAGGUCGGAUUAGCUAGUUGGUGAGGUAAUGGCUCACCAAGGCGACGAUCCGUAACUGGUCUGAGAGGAUGAUCAGUCACACUGGAACUGAGACACGGUCCAGACUCUACGGGAGGCAGCAGUGGGGAAUAUUGGACAAUGGGCGAAAGCCUGAUCCAGCCAUGCCGCGUGUGUGAAGAAGGUCUUCGGAUUGUAAAGCACUUUAAGUUGGGAGGAAGGGCAGGUAAAUUAAUACUUUGCUGUUUUGACGUUACCGACAGAAUAAGCACCGGCUAACUCUGU
rnacentral:rRNA from 1 species